UGAGGAAUAUUGGACAAUGGACGAAAGUCUGAUCCAGCCAUGCCGCGUGAAGGAAGACGGCCCUCUGGGUUGUAAACUUCUUUUAUAUGGGAAUAAACCCCCCGACGUGUCGGGGGCUGAAUGUACCAUACGAAUAAGCACCGGCUAACUCCGUGCCAGCAGCCGCGGUAAUACGGAGGGUGCAAGCGUUAUCCGGAUUUAUUGGGUUUAAAGGGUCCGUAGGUGGGAUUGUAAGUCAGUGGUGAAAUCUUUCGGCUCAACCGGAAAACUGCCAUUGAAACUACAGUUCUUGAGUAUGCUCGAUGUAGGCGGAAUAUGUCAUGUAGCGGUGAAAUGCAUAGAUAUGACAUAGAACACCGAUAGCGAAGGCAGCUUACAAGCGCAUAACUGACACUGAGGGACGAAAGCGUGGGGAGCGAACA
rnacentral:rRNA from 1 species